GACGUAGGGCGCGAGCGUUGUCCGGAUUUAUUGGGCGUAAAGAGCUCGUAGGCGGCUUGUCGCGUCGUCCGUGAAAACCUGCGGCUCAACUGCAGGCUGGCGGUCGAUACGGGCAGGCUGGAGUUCGGUAGGGGAGACUGGAAUUCCUGGUGUAGCGGUGAAAUGCGCAGAUAUCAGGAGGAACACCCGUAGCGAAGGUGGUACUCUGGGCCGAAACUGACGCUGAGGAGCGAAAGCGUGGGGAGCGAACAGG
rnacentral:rRNA from 1 species